CGAAUCACCUUCGGGUGGUAGUAGAGUGGCGAACGGGCGAGUAACGCGUUUCUAACGUACCCCAAGGUCAGGGAUAGCUCACCGAAAGGUGUGGUAAUACCUGAUAACCCCAUCGAGUCGCAUGGCAUGAUGGGCAAAGGCUUGCUGCCCUGGGAUCGGGAAACGUAGUAUCAGGUUGUUGGUGGGGUAAUGGCCUACCAAGCCGAAGACGCUUAGCGGGUGUGAGAGCAUGACCCGCCGCAUCGGAACUGAGACACUGUCCGGACUCCUACGGGAGGCUGCAGUAACGAAUCUUCCGCAAUGUACGAAAGUAUGACGGAGCAAUGCCGCGUGCAGGAUGAAGCUCUUCGGAGUGUAAACUGCUGUCAGGGUUCAGGAAUCAAUGACCAGACCCAAAGGAAGGGCCGGCUAACUUCGUGCCAGCAGCCGCGGUAAUACGAAGGGCCCGAGCGUUGCGCGGAUUCAUUGGGCUUAAAGCGUACGUAGGCGGACUCGUAAGUGCCUUGUGAAAGCCCACGGCUCAACCGUGGAAUUGCAGGGCAUACUGCGGGUCUUGAGGCCGGUAGGGGUUGCCAGAACUCUAGGUGUAGCGGUGAAAUGCGUAGAUAUCUAGAGGAAUGCCGAUGGUGAAGACGGGCAACUGGGCCGGUACUGACGCUGAGGUACGAAAGCGUGGGGAGCAAACAGGAUUAGAUACCCUGGUAGUCCACGCCGUAAACGAUGUGCACUAGGUCCUGGAGGUUCUGACGCCAUCAGGGCCGAAGUAAAAACGAUAAGUGCACCGCCUGGGGAGUACGGUCGCAAGGCUAAAACUCAAAGGAAUUGACGGGGGCUCACACAAGCGGUGGAGCAUGUGGCUUAAUUCGAAGCAACGCGAAGAACCUUAUCCUGGGUUUGACAUGUAUGGAUUAACUCUGUGAAAGCAGAGCCACACUCUUUGAGUGGAACAUACACAGGUGCUGCAUGGCUGUCGUCAGCUCGUGCUGUGAAGUGUUGGGUUAAGUCCCUUAACGAGCGAAACCCUUAUCGUUAGUUGCCAUCAGGUUAUGCUGGGGACUCUAACGAGACUGCCGGUGUCAAACCGGAGGAAGGUGGGGAUGACGUCAAGUCCUCAUGGCCUUUAUGCCCAGGGCUGCACACGUGCUACAAUGGCGCGUACAAACCGAAGCGAUACCGCAAGGUGGAGCAAAUCGGAAAAAACGCGCCCCAGUUCGGAUUGUGGUCUGCAACUCGACCACAUGAAGUUGGAAUCGCUAGUAAUCGCGUAUCAGCUACGACGCGGUGAAUACGUUCCUGAGCCUUGUACACACCGCCCGUCAAGUCAGGAAGCCGGGAGUACCCGAAGUCGUGCC
rnacentral:rRNA from 1 species